CACCCAUAUCCUGUUGAAACACCAGGUGUUAUAUGAUCACUGAAGUUAAGCAAUGUUGAGCCUGGUCAAUACCUAGAUGGGUGACUGCUUAGGAAUGCUAAGUGCUGUAAG